rfam:Lactobacillus concavus DSM 17758 NODE_3, whole genome shotgun sequence.
CCACAGCUGCAACCGCACAAUCAGAGGCCAUAAAGCGAAAGCUGCCUCUUUUGGCGAGUCUGAGAUUAUAG